rnacentral:lncRNA from 1 species
GGAAUGAAGACUAAACAAUAAUUGACUUAACAAUAAAGAUAAAAGUUGAUCAUAUUAAAAGGUGUAACUGGUUAUGUCUCCUCCAACCACAACUUUAUAUUCAAGAACUUCAGUUAUCACCUCUGUGAUAAUUACGAUUUCAAGAACUCAUCUCUUCUAUAUCAAAGGUAACUUCUGAAAUGCCAAAUUGCUCGGCUGGAACAUCACCUUUUAUUUCAUUUUUAAUUUUGUCCAAUCGUAAUUUAUAUACCUCAAAUUGCUUUAACCUAUUCUCCAACAUGUGUUUAUAUGUUGGCAUUUUUGAGUCAAGGUCUUCCUCCUUGAAUGAUUAAAUUUUUACGAAGAUCUUCAAAUGUCUCAAAGACAUUUGUUUUGCUCAUAUCAGUAUGAUUCUGCUGGCUAUCAUUUUGUUUUAAUUCAUGAAACUUAUCAAUUACUUUUUCUAUACUUGGGAAGACAUAGAAAUGUGGUUUUUCAGCUUGUGUAAAAAGAAUAAAACCGACAUCUUCUCCGGUUAGAUUUGAAUACUCUUUCGCUUACUUGCCCAAGCCAUUUUUUCUUUUUGAAAAAGCAAUUGUGCGAGCUUCUUUAGACUCAAUCAACUUCAUUUUGAUCUUUUGCCUACCCUUUCCACCCCUUUUAUCCGUUGUGAAAUAAAUAAUUAGAGAAGAGAAAAGAUGUGUUGGUUGAAUAAGUCUGAGCAAUUUUGAGAGGAUUGCUUGUGUAAUUUAUAGUAGCUAUACAGGUUGGUUUGUCACGAGUAUUGACUCGUUUAUUGAAUAUUUUCAUAUUAUAAGCUUAAUCAUCACUUGUAUUUUCAUGUAUACAUAUUGUAUUCACAUUACGAGUUGAUUUUUCAUGAGUAUUGAACGAUUUAUUUAAUAUUUUUAUAUUAUAAAUUUAAUCAUCGUGUGUUUUAUCAUGUAUGCUUAUUGUGUUCACGUUAUGAGUCUAUUGUCUCGAGUAUUGACAGGUUUAUUUAAUAUUUUCAUAUCAUUAGUUUAAUCAUCACAGGUCUUUUCAUGUAAUAUUUUCAUAUUAUAAGUGUAAUCAUCACACGUCUUGUCAUGUAUACUUUUUGCGUUCACAUUAUGAGUCAGUUUGUCAUGAGUAUUAACAAGUUUAUUGAUAUUUUCAUAUUAUAAGUUUAAUUAAUCGUCAAGUGUCUUGUCAUGUAUACUUAUUAUAUUCACAUUAUGAGUUGGUUUGUCACAAGUAUUGACAGGUUUACUUGAUAUUAUAUUAUAAGUUUAAUCAUCACGUGUUCUGUCAUGUAUGCUUAUUGUGUUCACAUUAUGAGUCUUUUGCAACGAGUAUUGACAGGUUAAUUUAAUACUUUCAAAUUAUAAGUUUAAGCAUCACUUGUCCUAUCAUGUAAUAUUUUCAUAUUAUAAGUUAAAUCAUCACGAGUAUUAACAGGUUUAUUUAAUAUCUUCAUAUUAUAAGUUUAAUUGUCACGUGUCUUCUCAUGUAUAAAUAUCUAGUAACACUAAAUUUGUUGUGCAUGCAUUACAACUCAUAUAAUAUUGUGUUCCCUAAUAUGAGUUGGUUUGUCGCGAGUUUAACAAGUUUAUUAAGUAUGUUCAUAUUGUAAAUUUAACCAUCACGUGUCUUGUCAAGUAUAAAUGUCUAGUAAUACCAAAUUCAUUAUGUAUCCGUUAGAAGUCUUACAAUAUUGCGCUCACUAGUACACUUUGAGUUAGGCCUAUAAUUAAAUUGUUCUAUAAAAAAAUAUUUAUGCCUUUUAUAAGUUUCAUUUGAAACUAGUUUCUCGACGCGUGCGUCACACGUGUAUGCCUAGUCACACAAUACAAAUUCUGUUAAAUAUUAAUAAUACUCGUUGAAAUAAAAUUGAGUGAACCCUUUAGUACCCCCAUAGUCUAACUUCCUGAGGAUCCUAUUCCUCCCCCCACCCCACCCCACCCCCCGCGCUAAAAAAACUCAAUUUUGCAUAUUUUUGUCACUAUUUUGGACUGACAUGACACCUUUUGUCAACCUUUUUAGAUGACGUGACACCUUUGAUGUGGAACCCCAUUUUAUGUUAUAAAGGUGCCAUAUCAGCACAAAAGGGUAUCCAAAAUAUGCUAAAAUUAAGUUCGGUGGGGGUAAUAGGACCCCUGCGAAGUUGAAGUUUGUCAUAAUAACUUUGAUCAUAGUUUGAGGAGGUAUUGAAUGCCUAUCUCAAUAUAAUUUAGAUUAAGAAAAAGUGCACAUUUAUGUAACUAAUCAAUACAGAUCAUUAUUUGGUGACAUCUUUAUCGAGAUAUAGAUGACUAAAUGUUCCCUAAUCUAUGAAGAUGAACAAUUAAACUUUUGGAUACAUGUAUUAUUUAUACUAAGCAAAAAAUAUAUCAUCACCAUUUGUAAGAUACCCCGCAAAAUCUUAUGUUGAUAAUCAGCUCUUUUAACUCCAAAAAGCUUUUUUGAAGGUCCAACACUUAGAACAUUUUAGCUAGGUGUUCAACACUUAAUCUUAUUUUAAGCCUUCAAAGUCGGAGAUUUAUUUGACGUCCUUUUCGACAUUCAUUUUUUAUUUUUCAAGUUGCGUUGUGAUGGGGCAAGUCAAUAGUACAUUCCAGGUGAGUUUCAGAAUUUUCAAAAUCAGUUUAGGGCAUGUUUGGAUUUUGAAACAGUAGCAUCCUGCGAUUAGCAUGCGACGCAUGCUCCAUCUCACAGUCCCUAGCAUGCGAUAGAGCAUGCGACGCAUGCUCCAACUUAGUGUAUUAAGGGUAAAUUGAACUUUUUCCCCACCCUAUAUAUAUAUAUUCAAAAACACGGGAUUAAACCCAUUUUGAACCAAAAUACACUCAAAAUUCUCAAAAUCCUCUCAAGAACACCUUAGGCAUUCAAUUGGGGAUUUAAGUUCAAGAAAUUCAACCACAAACUUUGGGAAAUCAAGAACUAAGGUAUUCAUAGUGUUCAUUCAUGGAUUCCUUUCAUCCGUGAAGCCUAAGAAUCAAGUUUUAAACUAUGAAUUAUGAUAUUCAUGUAAUGGGUUGAUUUUGUUCAUGUGGUUGUUGUUGUAUGAUUCCCAAGUUGAAAUCUUUAUGUGUUGUUCACGAAACAAUGAAAGUAUGUGAAUUAAAACUUGUGCAAUUUAGUUGAAUUAUGGUGUUUUGACGCAUUAAUUGAUAAUCAUACCUAUGCCCUAAGUGGUGCAUGCAAGGAGUUUGAUAAAAUGCCUAAGAUACUAGAAACCAUGCCCAAUAGCUAAAUUAUGACCUAAAUGAUGAAUGCAUGAUAUUCCCUUAUGAUCAAUAUGACUUCCAUGAUAUUAUUGUGCAUUAUGAUAGUUGAUGGAAUGCUCAUGAAACUAGAUUGAUGAACCUAUGACUUUGAUUAUAUGCAUUCCUACCAUGUACAAGAUUAUGAUAAACAUGUGUUCCAUGAAAUCCCAAUUUAUUGUAUUAUGAAUUGUUGAUGAUUGUCAUGUAUUCAAGAAAGUCAUGCUUUGUCAGUUUCCUUCUAUUGAGUCCUUGGGGUACUUGUACCCGAAAAUAUUAUUGUGUGCCUAGAGUCAGUGUCAUGUUGUCACGAUAUCCUUAGUCAAGCCCCGAUCCAUAGAAUUCAGUCAGUCAUGUGACUCAGGAAAGUUCAGAAAUUCAGUAAUCUUAGUAGUAUCUGUCAGUCCUCGAAAAUUAGUUAAAUCAGUUUGGUUCAGUCCAGUUUAAUCAUAUUCAGUGUCUAUUCAUAUGAGAGUAGGAUUUAGCACCGAGCAAACCCAAGGAUGGAAACUCACCUGUUAGUUUAGGGUGUGAUUCUUAGAAGCAAUCCUUGUGUUCCAGAGCUACGUAGCCAGGUAGGUUGAGAUAUCCAACCUGCCAGUUGAGGGUUGAUGAGGUGGAUUAACCUGCCAAUUUUGGGUUCCCACCAUUCUCAUUAGAGUAUCUGCCAGUUGAGGAUCACCCACGGCUUGUCCUUACCGGUGGCGCGGUAUUGAAACUCUUCCAAUUGGGGUUAUAAAUUGGAACGCAACUCAGUUAUAUUACUUAUUUGGGGCAUGUCGGUUUGAUGACUACUUCCCACAGUUUCAGUAACAUUAUCAGUAAAAGAACUUAGAUAGUUCUUCAAAUUUCUGGACUGUCAAAUACAGUCACCUCAACUCAAUAGGGAACUCAGAUAGUUUCAUCAAAUUCAGGCCUGUUAGAUACAGUCACUCAUGUUAUCAGUAUAUCAGUUAUUAGAAUUCAUGUUAUCAGUCAUAUUAGAUAUCAGUAACUCAGGUUAUCAGUAUUCAGAUUCAAAAAUCAUGUUAUUACGAUAUCAGUGUCAGUCAUUAUGUUUUAUGUAUGUGUUCUCACGCUCAUGAUAGUCAGUCUGUUAGUAUUAUUUCUCAUGUAUAUGAACCCCUUGCAUUCAGCCUACCUCACAUGCAUACCAGUACAUUCAAUCGUACUGAUACAUUCGCGCUAUGUGGUUUUAAUACCAUAGGUUCAAAGGCACGAGAUCCAGAGCGUCAGUAGCAGUCCAGUUCCAGCAAUCAGAAUUAGCAGUGAGUCCUCAUCCUUUGAGGACAUGGUUAUUACCUUAUCAUUUCAGUAUUCGAGACUUAGUUUAUUUUAGUAGUUGGAGUUAGUUGGGGACAUGUCCCAUCAACUCCUUAUUCAAAAAGUUAGAGGCUUUUCAGACUAUCAUGUUUCAGAUAGUUUAUUUUAGUUGUGUUGGGUAUUUCAUACCCCAUUAAAAUGUUGUGUUUUAUCAUAUUUGAACCUUAUGGCCUUCCAGUCUUUAUUUCCAUAUUUAUUCAAUAUAUUAUGUAGUGUACAGGUACAGAUAUCAGUCAUGGGUUAGCUUGUGGUUCUUCAGAGUCAUGAGUAUCGUGUAGCACUUUGGGUACCAAAUUUGGCUCGUUAAAAACUUAGUAUCAGACCUAAGAAGUCUGAAAGCAGCAUCUAGUAGAGUCUUGUGCAUGGGUGUUUGCGCGCCACAUUUAUGUACAUGAGGCUAUGAGAUGUUUUAGGAACAAUUUCCCUUAUUUCAGUAUUCAUGUCGUGCCAGUGAGCAUAAUCUCAAGUUAAACUCUCAGUCUAAUCCAUUUCUCCUCUUCAUUUACAGAACAUGCCUCCCAAGAGAAGAAAUCAGCCUGUCCAAGAAGAUUUCUUGGCCAAAAGUAUUUCUCAUGCGAAGUUUAGAGCCGCAUUCACUACUCUUGCUCAGUCAGUUACUGCUCAGAAUGAAUGACCAGUAGUUUUUUCGGCUAACCCAAUGGCCAAUUCAGCUAUAUCUAGGAUUUGGGACUUCACCCGAAUGAACCCUCCAUCCCUUUUUGGGUCUAAGUCAGAUGAGGACCCUUAGGAAUUCAUUGAUCAGGUUCAGAAGUUUACAGACAUCAUGAGGGUGAUUGCCGUUGAGAGUGAUGAGCUAGCUGCAUAUCAGUUGCAGGAUAUAGCUUACACUUGGUUCAAACAGUGGAAGUCAGAGAGGUCAGAUGAUGCAUGUCUUAUAGAGUGGGAGGAGUUUGUCACUGCAUUCUUAGAUAGAUUCUUUCCCCAAGAGCUGAGAGAGGCUAAGGUGCUAGAAUUUAUCAACUUCAGGUAGGGAAACAUGAUGGUGAAAGAGUAUUCUCUUAAGUUACUCAAUUAGCCAGAUAUUCUCCUCAUGUGGUUGCAGAUAGCAGGGCCAAGAUGAGUAAGUUUGUUUCUAGGUGAAUGAUAGUGUGGUGAAUGAGUGUAGGUCUGCGAUAUUGAAAAGUGACAUGACCAUAGCCAGGAUUAUGAAUCGUGCUCAACAAAUAGAAAAUCAGAAGAUUAAGAUGAGAGAGAAGCAGAAUAAAAGAGCAAGGUCAGGUAGUUUUAACUUUGCUCAGCCUAAGUCAGAAGGAGAAAACUGUUCUCAUUUUUGCCCUAAGUCAUUAGUUCCAGCUCUUUCAUCCUCUAGUGCCCCAGUAUCAAAAUUCAGAGACGGCAACAGAGAUAGAACGUCAGGCUCUCAGUCUCAGGGCAGUGUUAGCAGUGCCCGAACUAAUCCUCUUUGUCAGACUUGUGGCAAGCACCAUCAAGGUAUUUGUAGAGCUGGCAGCGACAUUUGUUUCAGAUGUGUCAAGCCAAGACACAGAGUUUGAGAGUGUCCUCAGACAGGUUCUUAUUGUCAGUAGAAUCGUUCUACAACUCAGUCUGGUCGCCCAAACCAGUAGGGCGCCACUUCCAGCACUACAAGUGGGCAAUGCCCAAAUAGACUCUAUGCUCUCCAGACCUGAAAAGAUUAGGAAAAUUCUCCUGGUAUGGUUACUGGUAACGUUACAGAUCUUUCAUGUGCACGUUUAUGCUUUGCUAGAUCCAGGAGCUUUCUUUUCUUUUAUUACUUCUUAUAUAGCAGUUGAUUUUGGAGUGAGUCACGAAAUUUUAGCAGAGCCCUUCUCAGUAUCUACCCCAGUAGGUAAGACCAUUAUUGCUCGGUGGGUAUACCAGAACUGCCCGGUCAUGAUAUUUUAGAAAGCCACUUCAGCAGACUUAGUCGAAUUAGAGAUGACUGGUUUCGAUGUCAUUCUCAUCAUGGAUUGGCUUUAUUCCUGUUAUGCCACAGUCGAUUGCAAAAAUAGAAUUAUUCAGUUUCAGUUCCCAAAUGAACCCAUCUUAGAGUGGAGGGGUAGUACUUCAGCUUUUAGAGGUCAGCUUAUUUUUUACCUUCGGGCACGGAAAAUAAUAUCUAAGGGAUGUGUCUAUCAUCUUAUUCAUGUUAAGGACACUAGUUCCGAAACUUCCAGUCUUAAAUCGUCCUAGUGGUUAAUAAAUAUUCAAAUGUCUUUCUUGAAGAUCUCUCAUGAAUUUCUCUCGAAAGGGAAAUAGACUUCGGCAUUAAUCUUCUUCCAGAUACUCAGCUCAUAUCUAUUCUGCCAUACAGAAUGGUACCAACAGAACUCAGAGAGAUGAAAGAACAGUUGAAGGACCUCCUAGAUAAGGGAUUCAUCAGGCCUAGUGUUUCCCCAUGGGGUGCACCAGUCUUGUUCGUGCGCAAGAAAGACGGUUCUCUCAGGAUGUGUAUUGAUUAUCAUCAUCUCAAUAGGUCACGAUCAAGAACAAGUAUCAUUUUUCCAGAAUCAAUGACUUAUUUCACCGACUUCAAGGUGAUAGUUACUUCUCCAAAAUAGACCUCAGAUCGGGCUAUCAUCAGCUCAGAGUCAGAGAAAGUGAUAUUCCAAAAAUAGCUUUUCGUACUCAGUACGGUCACUUUGAAUUCCUAGUUAUGUCCUUUGGCCUUACCAAUUCCACAGUAGCUUUCAUGGACUUGAUGAACCGUGUGUUCAAGCAGUACGUGGACAUAUUUGUCAUAGUCUUCAUAAAUGAUAUUUUGGUCUAUUCUCGCACUGAGCGAGAUCAUGCAGACCAUCUCAGAAUAGCACAUCAGACUCUCAAAGACCAUCAGCUAUUCACUAAAUACAUUAAGUUCGAGUUUUGGAUAAGGUAUGUAGCAUUCCUUGGUCAUAUAAUUUUCGUGAUGGCAUUAGAGUCGAUUCUCAAAAGACCGAAGCAGUAAGAAAUUGGCCUUGCCCCAUCUCUUCAUCAGAUAUAAGGAGUUUCUUAGGUUUGGAUGGCCAUUAUAGAUGGUUUGUUGGAGGAUUUUCAUCCAUUGUGUCCCCUAUGUCCAGAUUGACUCAGAAGAAAGUCAAAUUUCAGUGGUCAGAUCUUUGCGAGAAUAUUUUUCAGGAGUUGAAGACUAGACUCACUUUAGCUCUAGUUUUAGAUCCUCCAGAUAGUCUAGAUGGCUUUGUAUUUUAUUGUGAUGCAUCCAUAGUAGGUUUGGGUUGUGUCCUCAUGCAGCAUAGUAAGGUCAUAGCUUAGGCCUCCAGAUAGCUUAAGUCCCAUGAGAAGAAAUAUCCUACUCAUGGUCUUGAGUUAGUAGUCGUAGUAUUUGCCUUAAAGAUUUAGAGGCAUUAUCUAUACGUAGUUCAUGUAGAUGUGUUCAUAGACCAUAUGAGCCUUCAGUAUGUCUUUUCUCAAAAAGACCUCAAUCUUUAUCAGAGGAGGUGGUUAGAGAUAUUGAAAGAUUAUAACAUGAGUGUCUUUUAUCACUCGGGCAAGGCCAAUAUAGUGGCCAACGCUCUCAGUAGACUAUCUAUGGGUAGUGUUUCUCAUGUUGAGGACAGUAAGAAGAAGUUAGCUCAGGAAGUCCAUCAACUUAUCAGACUAGGUUUUCGCUUAGUCGAUACAACAUAGGGUGAUAUAUGGGUUCAGAGUAGUUCGGGAUCAUCUCUAGUGUUCGAGGUGAAAGAAAAGCAAGAUAGAGAUCCCAGCUUUGUCAAGAUAAAAGAGUCAGUCAAGGACCAGAAAAUAGAGGUUUUCUCCUAAGGGGGAGAUGGUGUCUUGCGUUGUCAGGGUCGUCUCUGUGUCCCAGGUAUAGAUGAAUUAAGGUAGCGAAUUCUGGCAGAAACGCAUGGUGCAUGAUACUCUAUUCAUCCAGGGGCUACUAAAAUAUACUGCGACUUACGGGAGAUCUAUUAGUGGAGUGGGAUGAAGAGAGAUGUUGCAGAGUUUGUGGCUAAGUGCUUUACAUAGAGUAUCAGAAGCUUAGUGGUCCCAUGUAGGAGUUCAUUAUUCCCACCUGGAAAUGGAAAGAAGUGAACAUAAACUUCGUGACGGGUUUUCCUCGAACUCAUAAUCAGCAUGAUUCAGUUUGGGUCAUUAUAGACAGGAUGACCAAAUCAGCUCAUGUCCUUCCAGUUCAUACCUCUUAUUUAACUGAGGAUUAUGCCAAACUUUAUAUCAGGGAGUUGGUCAGAUUGCACGGUGUUCCAUCAUCUAUUAUUUCAGACAGAGGUACCAGUUUACUUCUCACUUUUGGAAAGCGUUCCAAAAGGGUCUUAGUACCCAAGUCCAUAUCAGUACAUCCUUUCAUCCUCAGAUAGAUGGUCAAGCAGAAAGGACCAUUCAUACCCUAGAAGAUAUGCUACAAGAGUGUGCAAUUGAUUUCAAGGGUAGUUGGGAUGACCACUUGCCUUUGAUUGAGUUUGCAUACAACAACAACUAUCAUUCCAGUAUUAAGAUAGCUCCAUUCGAAACUCUCUAUAGUAGGAAGUGCAGAUCUCCAGUUGGGUGAUUUGAGAUUAGUAAGGCCUCAGUUAUAGGGCCUUACUUAGUAUUCAACGCCUUAAAAAAGUCCAGUUGAUCAGAUAAAGACUUCGGGUUGCUCAAAGCCUACAGAAGUCUUAUGCAGAUGUGCGCAGAAAGGAUCUCAAGCUUGAGAUAAGUGAUUUUUUCUAUCUAAAGAUCUCUCCCAUGAAGGGAGUGAAGAGAUUCGGCAAGAAAGGAAAGCUCAGUCCCCAAUAUGUCGUUCCCUUCAAGAUUCUCAAUCAUUUCGACAAGGUAGAUUAUGAGCUCGAGUUGCCUUCAGAUCUAGCCUCAGUUCAUCCAAUCUUUCAUAUCUCCUUGCUCAAGAUGUGUAUAGGUGACCUAUCAGUCGUAGUCCCUAUUCAGAGCAUAGAUGUUCAGAACAACCUCUUUUAUGAAGAGAUUCCAGUCAAAAUUCUAGACUAUUAAACUCAUAGACUGAGGAAUAAAGAAGUCCCUAUAGUCAAAGUUCUUUGGCGAAAUCAGUCCAUUGCGGGAGCUACUUGGGAAGCAGAAGUAGAUGUGUAAAGUACCCUUACCUCUUCUCUGCCAACUCAGACCAAGCUCAAGGUAACAGUUCUCCUUAAGUUUAUUUAGUUUCAUGUUCAGAAUCCCAUUAUAAAUUUGGUAUAAUACACCAUUGCAUAUUCAGUCACGCAUUCAUAUGUCAGUUCAAUUAUAUAAUCAUAUAUCAGAUAUGCAUUCUCAUUUUGAGAACCUCAGUUAUCAGGAAUUUCAAUCAUGUAUUCAUGAAUCAGUUAUCCAUGCAUCAGAUAUGCAUGUUCAGAAUUCAGUCAUGUCAGCCAUGAAAUUAUGUUCAGUUGUUUAUGCUUAGUAUUCACGUCAGUUAUCUUUUCUCCCCUCUUGUUCAGUCCCAUUCGGGGACGAAUGUUCCCAAGGGGGAGAUAUUGUAAGACCCCGCAAAAUCUUAUGUUGAUAAUCAGCUCUUUUAGCUCCUAAAAGCUCUUUAGAAGGUCCAACACUUAGAAUAUCUUAGCUAGGUAAGUUAAAUCAUCACGAGUAUUAACAGGUUUAUUUAAUAUCUUCAUAUUAUAAAUUUAACUGUCACGUGUCUUCUUAUGUAUAAAUGUCUGGUAACACUAAAUUUGGUGUGCAUGUGUUACAAAUCAUAUAAUAUUGUGUUCAAUAAUAUGAGUUGGUUUGUCACGAGUUUAACAAGUUUAUUAUGUAUUUUCAUAUUGUAAAUUUAACCAUCACGUGUCUUGUCAAGUAUAAAUGUCUAGUAAUACUAAAUUCAUUGUGCAUCCGUUACAACUCUUACAAUAUUGCGCUCACUAGUACACUUUGAGUUAUGCCUAUAAUUAAAUCUAUAAAAAAAAUAUUUAUGCCUUUUAUAAGUUUCAUAUGAAACUAGUUUCUCGACGCAUGCGUCACACGUGUAUGCCUAGUCACGCAAUACAAAUUCUGUUAAAUAUUAAUAAUACUCGUUGAUAUAAAAUUGAGUGAAAUAUCUAGUACCCCCAUAGUCUAACUUCCCGGGGAUCCUAUCCCCCCCUCCCCCUCCAACCUCAAUUCUGCGUAUUUUGUCACCAUUUUUUUACUGACAUGGCACCUUUUGUGAACCAUUUUAGAUGAUGUGACACCUUUGAUAUGGGACCUCAUUUUAUUUUAUAAAGGUGUCACUCAGCACAAAAGGGUGUCAAAAAUAUUCUAAAAUUGAGUUCGGUGGGGUAAUAGGACCCCUGCGAAGUUGAAGUUUGUUGUAACAACUUUGAUCAUAGUUCGAGGAGGUAUUGAAUGUUUAUCUCAAUAAAAUUUAGAUUAAGCAAAAUUGCACAUUUAUGUAACUAAUCAAUGCAGAUCAUUAUUUGGUGACAUCUUUAUCUAAUCAAUGCAGAUCAUUAUUUGGUGACAUCUUUAUCGAGAUAAAGAUGACUGAAUGUUGCCUAAUCUAUGAAGAUGAACAAUUAAACUUUCGGAUACACGUAUUAUUUAUACUAAGCAAAAGAUAUAUCGUCACCAUUUUUAUUAUAUCGUCAAUUUACAAUUAUCAUAACAACUUCACAACCAAUCGAUUCAUACUUUUAAGAAUUUCAGUCAUUUUUAGGAAAAUCCUCAUAUUAUAUAUAUAUAUAUAUAUAUUAUAUAUAUAUUAAUUCGUUCUUCUCCCAUUAGUGAUUUCUUUACCUUGAACCUCUUCCAAUUGCUAGUACUUUUAGAACAUAAUCAAUUUUUUAAUUAUAAUUUGCUAAUUAGUAUAUGUUAUAAACCUAAAAAGGUUUUAUGGGUAAAGGAAAAUAAGAUAUAGUAAAAUUAUAAGUUAGUUUUUUAGUUUUUGUACUUUUAUUAUGACUAGUCUAACAGCACGUGCCUCGCACGUGUAACAUUUGAUUAUUUAAAAUUAAAUAAUUAUAUUUAUUGCGAAAAUUUUUAAUAAAGUGUAAAAGUUCAAAGCACUUUUCAAAAAUCUUUCAUACUUUAAUAUAAUAAUGUAAACAUAAACAUAUAUACAUAUAUAUUUUGCCACCAGAAGUCCAAGUGAUUGAUGGAACAUUAUUUUUGCAUUUGCAAUCUAGUACGUCUUUCCGUUGUUGCCAUAUACUAAGAGAGACGCAUCAAUUUGAAUCAUAUUUGCAUUAUGAUUAUUUUUAUUUUUGUUUAUAAUUAAAAUCUUUCCUUAUGUUUAAAGUUAGAUCUUUAUAAAAUAUUAAUUGCAUUCUUACUCCGUACUUAAAUUUUUUAAAAGCUGGUACUUCUUAAACUUUUCUUAUUCUAAUGGUUUUAUAUUUAUUUAUAGAUUUUUCAAAUCUUCUUAAAAUCAAAUUUAGUUGACUUGGAAUUUUUAAUCUAAUGAAAAAGUAUUAAUUGUCAUUAAUUUUGAUGACUUUUAAUAAGAAAAGAUUUUACCAAUAUUUAAUUCAUUUUCAACUCUUAAAUUAGGAAAAAAAUAGUGAAAUUCUGAUGACUUCUAAUAAAAUAGAUUUUUGCUAUAAAUAUAUUUAAUUAGUUUUCAACUCUUAAGUAUUAGGAAAAUAUAGUGAAAAGACGAUUUUGUCUAAAACAAAGACUUUUAAUGAAGGACAAAAAGUUCAAACAAUAUUUCGAAGGCCCUUCACACUUACUCUUUAAUAUAAUAAUAUAAAUAUAAAUAAAUAUUUUACAUCAUCACUUUUGUGUUUGUUAUAUAUAUAUAUAUAUAUAUAUUACAUCAUCACUUUUGCGUUUGUCAUGCUACCUCUUUCCCAGAGACGCUUUAACUUGAAUCAUACUUGUGGUACGGUUAUUUUUUAUAUGUUUAAAAUUUUUUCUUGUUUUUAAAGUCAAAUCUUUACAAAAUCAUUAAUUAUAUUCUUACUACUUACUUAAAACUUUUAAAUAUUUGGUACUUCUUAAAUUUUUCUUAUUCUAACGCUUUUAUAUUUAUUUCUAGAUUUUUCAAAUCUUCUUGAACUCAAAUUUAAUUAAUUUAGAAUUUUUAAACUAAUAAAAAAAUUAUUAGUUGUCAUUAAUGUUGAUGACUUCUAAUAAACCAUAAAUAUAUUUAAUUAAUUUUCAAUUCAUAAAUAUUAGAAAAAAUAGUGAAAGGCGUUUUUGUAUAAAACAAAGAUUUUUAAUCAAGAAUAAAAAAUUCAAACAACAUUUCUAUAGCCCUUUACACUUUUAAUAUAUAUUAGAUAUAGAUAUAUAUAUAUAGAUAGAUAGAUUAUAGAUUAUAGAUUUAUAGAUUAUAGAUAAUUAAAAAAAUAACACACAAUGUAACGCUCUAUCCCGCAAUCUCAUUUAAAUAAUCAAAGUAAUUAAAAUAUAUAUUGCACAUUUUCCAGCACCCUAAAGACCGUUUUUAGCUAAAAACAUGGCUUUGGAGAAUCCUUUUUUUCUUUUUCUUUUUAUCUUGCAUUAAUAUGCUACACAUGAAAUAGGCUGGGUUUUCUGCAUAUAUUUUUCACAAAUUAAACUUCAUCACAUACAAUCGAGUAUAUUUCUUUUUUGAAAAGAAAAUAAAAGAUUAACCAAUUCAUUCCUGAUCAUCAAAAAGAAAUAGCAUCCCUUGCGAUAUAGAGGAGGAAUGUAGCAGGUAAGUAUACAUCUUAAGAAUUAGAAGGAACAAAACCUGUAUCAAAUCAUGAUUUAGUUAUAGUAACGUAGUUGUAAGGCACUUAAUACCUCAAUAUAAAAAAUAUAAAACAUGACUCUUACAAUUACAAUUUAGAACACAUAAACUGAUCACUUACCUUAUCAAAAAGAUUUUUAGCACUAACCUUAUUUUCCACAAUUAAUUCAAGAUCUUCUCCAAUUGAGAAGUUUGAUGUCUUUCUUUCCCCGAAUAUCUAUCACAAAUAGAGAAGAUAAAUAGUAAAACACAUAAAAUUAAUUUUUUAAAAUGAUAAAAUAAAAACUAUUCAUAAAACACUUCAGAAAGAUAUCAAGAAAAUAAAAACAAAACUAAAGUCUUAGAUGUAGCAUCAAUCCUAAAAAAUGGUAAAAUAAAAUUACAUGAAUCUAUAUUAUUAACUAAAGCGAAGCAAAAGUGAGUUGAUGAAAUGAAAUUGGCAUACAAGAAAACCUUUAGGACAAAGCCUAUUUUAGUUGGAAAAUGAUUCUAUUGACCCAUUUUGGGGGUCUAUAUCUAUAUUUUUUUGGGGGGGGGGGGGAACAAGUCUAUUAGUUAGAAAAGGAUUUUGCCUAUUUUUUGGGACUUAAUGCUGCUGCACGUACAAAAAACAAAAGUAAAAACAAAGGCACGGAAUUUAAUCAUCAUACCAUAAACUUAGUAAUUUAACAGAAAAAAAUAUUAUUUUAAUGAAUUAAGGAAAUAUUUUAUCAUAAAUAUAUUUAAUUAAUUUAUAAUUUUUAAAUAUUAGAAAAAAUAGUGAAAAGACAAUUUUGUCUAAGACAAAGACUUUUAACGAAGGUCAAAAAGUUCAAACGCUAUUUCUAAGACCCUUUACACUUUUAAUAUAUUAUAGAUAUAGAUUAUAGAUUAUAGAUUAACAUUUCAAUUGAUUUACUAAUCUAGAUAAUAGAAAGCUUCAUUAAAGACGAAAGAUGAAACAAAGAGAAAACUUGAUUUAAUAACAUAGGAAUUUCAUAACCUUUUUUUGUUUUUGGAACAAAGAUAAAAGUUCAUCAUAUUAAAAGGUGUAACUGGUCAAGUCUCCUCUAGUCACAACUUUAUAUUCAAGAACUUCAAUUAUCACCUCCGUGAUAAUUAUGAGUUCAAGAACUCAUCUCUUCUAGAUCAAGGGCAACUUCUGAAAUGAACUUGAAUUGCUCGGCUUGAACAUCACCUUUUAUUUCAUUUUUAAUUUUGUCCAACCGUAAUUUAUAUGCCUCAAAUUGCUUCAACUUGUUCUCCAAUAUGUGUUUAUCUGUUGGCAGUUCUGAGCCAAGGUCUUUCUCCUUGAAUGCUUGUACUUCUUUACGAAGAUCUUCAAAUGCCUCAAAGACAUUUGUUUUGCUCAUAUCAGUAUGAUUCUGUUGGCUAUCGUUUUGUUUUAAUUCAUGAAACUUAUCAAUUAUUUUUUCUAUACUUGGGGAGCCAUAGGAAUGUGGUUUUCCAGCUUGUGUAAAGAGAAUAAAACCGACAUCUGCUCCGGUAAGAUUUGAAUAGUCUUUUGCUUUCUUGCUCAAGCCAUUUUUUCUUUUUGAAAAAGCAACUGUGCGAGCUUCUUUAGACUCAAUCAAAUUCAUUUCGAUCUUUUGCCUACCCUUUCCACCCCUUUUAUCCAUUGCGAA